AUCCAGACUCCUACGGGAGGCAGCAGUGGGGAAUAUUGCACAAUGGGGGAAACCCUGAUGCAGCGACGCCGCGUGAGCGAUGAAGUAUUUCGGUAUGUAAAGCUCUAUCAGCAGGGAAGAAGAUGACGGUACCUGACUAAGAAGCCCCGGCUAACUACGUGCCAGCAGCCGCGGUAAUACGUAGGGGGCAAGCGUUAUCCGGAUUUACUGGGUGUAAAGGGAGCGUAGACGGCGAUGCAAGCCAGAUGUGAAAGCCCGGGGCUCAACCCCGGGACUGCAUUUGGAACUGUGUGGCUGGAGUGUCGGAGAGGCAGGCGGAAUUCCUAGUGUAGCGGUGAAAUGCGUAGAUAUUAGGAGGAACACCAGUGGCGAAGGCGGCCUGCUGGACGAUGACUGACGUUGAGGCUCGAAAGCGUGGGGAGCAAACAGGAUUAGAUACCCGUGUAU
rnacentral:rRNA from 1 species